UUCAAGAUCUGCUGAAUAUGGAUCCAGUGCACCCUGACCAAGUAUGGGGGAUGACCAAGUUUGUCCUUUGUCCCUCUUCUGUAGUGUUACAUGCAUGAUCUCAUCCUCUUUUUUGUAGAAGAUAAGAAAAUAUGUCAUCAGUUUUCAUACUAAAAAAAGAGAAGACUAUUGAACUCUAUUAAGUGUGAUAUAACCAAUUAAAUUAAGAGCCACUAAUCCCAUCUUACCCUUUCUAAUUAUUUCUCCUUAAAUCUUCCUUCUCCUCCCACCACUAAUCUGCAAUGUUUCAUCUUACCUGACAGAUGCAUUCAACCACCUCAAAUGGCUUUUCCUCAUUUUAUCAUCAAUCAGAACUAACAACAAAAAAGAUAUAGUUAACCUCCUGUCCAAGAAAACUGACCUUCAACUUAUCCUACAUGAUGAUGAGGCAUCCUUUAGUUUGUCCUCUUUGACCCUCUUGUAAAUAUCACCUGGUUAAACUGGUUGCUCAAUCCAAAAGGCACCUCCCAUUUUGUAGUAAAAAUAGCAUGACUGUGUAAGAUACAUGUAUUUCCUGAACAUCAUAUCCUAUCCUCCCAAUGCCAUGGCAGAAACUUCUUGCACUAGGCUUCCUCUUACUAUGGAUGGGCCUUUGGUUCAGUGGUAAGGUAGAUCUAUUUCCUGAAUGUCACAGUAUAAGCAGAAGCAUUCUCCUUGUAGUGGAAGAUAAGACUACGGGCCUUCCACCCUUCACAACCUGAUGAUGGUUGGAGACCAUGUGUCAUGACUCGAGCCCUAAUGGGUUGGCCUAUCAACUUCGUUUGACCCAAACAACUAGUCAAAAUGUUUAAGCUGAAGUUGAUAGUAAUAUACUCAUCAGACCCACUCAAGGGUUUUACGUCCUCGUCAACGCCCAGCAUAGACCAAAUCAAACCCUAGCAUAGUGCAUGUGAGAUGUAGCCCAGUGGUGACUCAACGUCAUGACGAGUCCUCUAACUCCAUCCACGGAUAACCCUUUUCUACUCGAGCCCCCUCACCAUGCCCAAAUACUAGGUCGGCUCUGAUACCAAAUGUCAUGACUCGAGCCUGAUAGGCUAAUUGGCCUAUCAACUUCGUUUAACCUAAACCACUGAUCAAAAUGUUUAAGCUGAAAUUGAUAGUAGUAUACUCGUCAGACCCUUAUAAGUCAAUCUUAGUUUUACUCACUUUCGAUGUGGGACUAAUCGAGAUGUUACAUUAUAAACUAGAUUACCCAUUUAAUUAACAGUAUAAUUUUUUUUUUUUGCAAAAGUUCUUCAAAAUCCUUCACUUCUCAAAAGCCUUCCUUUAAUCAUGAUAAGUUGCAAUGGAAAUUCCAUUUAAGUUAAUAAAGACGACAUUAUAUCUCUUCACAUCCAAGCUCAACCUUUCACCACUUGUCUCUUGCUAGUUGCUAGCAACCUAUUUGUACUCUUAAGCCAAAAACAAAGAUGAAAAGCUGCAAGCUGCUAUUGCUGAAUACCAUGAAGAAAGUGGAUCAGUUUGUUAAAGUCGAGGGCUAGAUAUCCUCCUUCCCAUUCUCAACAAAGACAUUUCCAAAAAAAAAUUGUGCUACUUUGUCAUAAGAAGACAGAAUAUAAGAACUAUUCACAGUUAUGAUUGUGGACAACCUGCAAAGGACUUGUUCAAUUUUUAGUAGAUAGAUACCGACAUGAAAGUUAUGCAAGAUCAUUUGUAACCCACACUAUUUUGACAAACACUAUACAAAAUAUUGGUGGAUAUUAGCAUGAAUCAAAUAUUUUAUUCCUUCAGUUUAUGUUCAAAAAUUCUAACAAAGUUUCGUGGGUAGCCCAAAAUUAGCACGACAGUAAAAAAUGGAACAAAUAACAAGUGUAUUCGACAUUUUAGGUUCUGUCCAUCAGCAGCUUCAAAUCUAAUCAUGUAUGCAUAUAUAUUUAGUAGACACAAGCAUCUUUUGCAAGUUAAGAACGUAAAAGGUGUUGAAUACAAAGAACAAGCUUGGACACAUGCAUGCGCACCAAAAAAGAAAAAAGUUUAGGAUGAUUUUAUAAAGUGUAGUAUAUGUACUAAAAAUGUAUUGCUGACAGAUACCAGGCACAGAAACUAGGACAAAAGACCAAAAAAAAAAAGCAAUAAACUGAUACAUCAAAGAGGCUUAAAAUCUCAAGCAUAGAUGAACUGGCACUUAAAGCUUCUCUUCAAAUCGACCAGAGAAAAAAAUUCAGUGACAGUGUGUUAUUCUCACCGUUGAUAAAUAACUCUAAAUACCAGUAAUAAUCUGAUGCCAUUUAAUCUAGGGCUUGUCUGAUUCCCCACAUUAACUAACUAAAUGCAGCACUUAGCUUGAUCUAACCAACCAAUUCCAUUACCAAUAAAAUCACCACAAAGCCCUUAUGAAACGACGAAGAAUUGAGACGAGGAAAAGAAAUCAAAACUUGCAAAGAACAAGGACAUAUUACCAAGGGUCCAAAACGACGAGUCAGUCUUCACAGGGCAGGCGAGAUCAUGCUGACAACAAAUUGAAGGCAUUGAGGAAAAGGGACUAUCAACAAUCAACCAAACAUAUGACUAGAGAAAGGAAACGCAUACAUUGAGAUAAGGAGGAUUUCCCUUGAUGCCCAAUUCGAUGUGCGCGGACUGGAUCUUGCAGUAGAACAGCUUCUUGGGGACAUUGGCAGGGAGGUCGAUGUAGA
rnacentral:lncRNA from 1 species